UUGCGAAAACUUUCAAUAUAUAUAAAAAUUACCUUUUGCAUAAUGGUUUAAUUAACUUUUAAAGAUUUUUUUUUCCCGAAAUAAAAAGAUCUAAUAAAAAAUUAAAAAUAUGUUUUAAAAUAUUUAUUUAAUUUUUUAUUAGGUGUGAAAGGCUAGUCAAUUUUUAUGAUAUCUGGAUAARAUUAAAUGUAUUUAGUACAGGCUAAAAGCUGAAGAGCCCCCUGUUAAGGGGGGGCUCAAAAAGGAUAAUAAUAAAAAUAUUUUUAUUUAGGAUAAUUCUAUAAUAAUUUUAAUGCUUUAUAUAAUUAUUUAUUUAUUGGUUCUUUUAAAAUUUUUUCUAGAAAAAUUUUAAUUUUCUAAUUUUUUCAUAAUGUUAAAAUAAGUAUUAAUCUUAAUUUAAAUAUAGGAACUCGGCAAACUAUUACUCAACUGUUUAUCAAAAACAUAGUUUUAUGAAGUAGUAUAAAAUGAAUUCUGCCCAAUGAUAUAAUUUUUAAUGGCCGCAGUACUUUAACUGUGCUAAGGUAGCAUAAUAAUUUGGCUUUUAAUUAAGGUCUGGUAUGAAAGGAUUUUAUGGGUAAUAACUGUCUUUAUUUAACUUUUAAAAAUUUACUUAAAAGGUGAAAAUUCCUUUAAUUUUAAAAUAGACGAGAAGACCCUAGGAGUUUUUGUUUUGUUGGGGCGACAUUUUAGUAAAUAACCUAAAGGAUAGAUUUAACAGUUAUAUCAAUUAUAAAUAAACUACCCUAGGGAUAACAGCAUAAUAAUAAUUUUGUUUGUGACCUCGAUGUUGGACUAGG
rnacentral:rRNA from 1 species